rnacentral:rRNA from 1 species
AUACGUAUGGAGCAAGCGUUAUCCGGAUUUACUGGGUGUAAAGGGAGUGUAGGCGGCUUUGCAAGUCAGAUGUGAAAGCCCGGGGCUCAACCCCGGGACUGCAUUUGAAACUGUGAAGCUGGAGUGUCGGAGAGGUAAGUGGAAUUCCUAGUGUAGCGGUGAAAUGCGUAGAUAUUAGGAAGAACACCAGUGGCGAAGGCGGCUUACUGGACGAUUACUGACGCUGAGGCUCGAAAGCGUGGGGAGCAAACAGGAUUAGAUACCCUGGUAGUCCACGCUGUAAACGAUGAAUGCUAGGUGUUGGGGCCCAUAGGGCUUCGGUGCCGCAGCUAACGCAAUAAGCAUUCCACCUGGGGAGUACGUUCGCAAGAAUGAAACUUAAAGGAAUUGACGGGG